rnacentral:sRNA from 1 species
AAAUAGCCGCGAUUGAAGUGGAAAUCCUGUCAUUGUUCUGCAAUUGUUAAUGAGAUUGCUUCUUUCCUCACAAUGACAGAUUGAAACGGAAAGCGGGAAAACGG